AAACGCAGAUGGCCCAACUGCAAUCAAUGCCCACUGUGCAACCGCGCAUCGGAGACAGCUGCGCAUUUGACCUUCCAAUGCCGCUUUUCCAAUCGAAUUCGGAACAUGAUUAAGGAUUGGCUUGGACUUCAUCUUCUGGAGACAUCCCUUUGGAAUGAUGUCAACGAUGUCUUGUCCUGGUGGAAUCACCUUAUCCACCAGGACAGUUAUUGGAGCAAGGUGUUGGCUUCCCUGGACAUGCUUGUUUCAUGGGAGCUAUGGAAUGAGCGCAACGUGAGUGUCUUCAACAACAAGCAUUCAUUCUCUCAAAUCAUCUUCUCACGUAUAUGUAAGGAAUCCACUUUGUGUGGCCGCGGGGGCAAAUGA
rnacentral:rRNA from 1 species